rnacentral:rRNA from 1 species
AGUCACUGACAUUAGAUACCCGGGUAGUCCAGGGUGUAAACGCUGCAGACUUGGUGUUGGAAGUCCUUCGAGGGUAUUCAGUGCCGGAGAGAAGUUGUUAAGUCUGCUACUUGGGAGUACGUCCGCAAGGAUGAAACUUAAAGGAAUUGCGGGGAGCACCACAACGGGUGGAGCCUGCGGUUUAAUUGGACUCAACGCCGGAAAUCUCACCGGAUAGGACAGACAUAUGAUAGUCGGGCUGAAGACUCUACUUGAUGAUCUG